rnacentral:lncRNA from 1 species
CCGCCAUCAAAAGGUUCGCCGCCAUCAACGGUUCGCCGCCAUCGACAGUCGACAACGGAGCUUAUUCUCAGCAUCAAUAUCCACGGGCUCACUGAAAUCGGAACUUGGGUCCAACCUCUCGGCCGUUCACUGCCCUGUUCAUCCAACGUCCACCGCCAUCAAAAGGUUCGCCGCCAUUUAUGCUUGUUUAAUUUUUUGUAUUUUUUUGCUUGUUUAAUUUUUUGCUUGUUUAAUUUUUUGCUUGUUAAUUUUUUGCUUGUUAAUUUUAUGAUACAUUUAUGCUUGUUUUAUUUCUUUGCUCAACCCGUUCCCAUCAUAGAUUUUUUUUUCAAGACCGUCACAGUUUCCUUGCAUUUUGACAUUGCACCUGCUGGUGCACUUGGCAAGUGCACCAGCAGGUGCAUUUUCACAUUGCACCUGCUGGUGCACUUGCCAAGUGCACCAGCAGGUGCACAAUUGGAAAUGCACCUGCUGGUGCACUUCCAAGUGCACCAGCAGGUGCACAAUUUAAAUUGCACCUGCUGGUGCACUUGCCAAGUGCACCAGCAGGUGCACAAUUGUAAAUGCACCUGCUGGUGCACUUGCCAAGUGCACCAGCAGGUGCACAAUUGGAAAUGCACCUGCUGGUGCACUUCCAAGUGCACCAGCAGGUGCACAAUUGGAAAUGCACCUGCUGGUGCACUUCGCAAGUGCACCAGCAGGUGCAUUUUCACAUUGCACCAGCACAUUUGGCCUAGCUACUAGCUAGGUCACUUUAUGUUUAUAUAUUCUUUGCAUAGAGAGACUAAUCUAAGGCCAUUUGAUCAAUGCUUUGCAAAGAUGAAAGAAAUUAUUUAAUUUGGAUCUAGAUUAUAUUCUCCAUCCUUAAUUUUUGGCUUUUGUACAUAGAAAAAUGAGUGGAGAAUGAAGUUUAUAAUCAUUUCCUUAAGAAAAUGCUGCAUUUUUCUUGUAUAAAAUAUGAGCAUGAUAGUCAUGUGAAAGGGAGUUUUUCUUUGAUUCAUCACUAUUGAGUAGUGAUAUAGAAUGCACAUGCUGGUGCACUUGAAAUGUGCACCGGCAGGUGCAUUUUCACAUUGCACCUGCUGGUGCACUUGCCAAGUGCACUAGCAGGUGCAUUUACAAUUGUGCACCAGCUGGUGCACUUGGCAAGUGCACCAGCAGGUGCAAUGGGAAAAUGCACCUGCUGGUGCACUUGCCAAGUGCACUAGCAGGUGCACAUUUCAAGUGCACCAGCAGGUGCACUUGGACAAGUGCACUUGCUGGUGCACUUGUGCACCAGCUGGUGCACUUGUGCACCAGCUGGUGCACUUGUGCACCUGCUGGUGCACUUG